UUAACUCAAAUCUCUAUGCAGUUGGAACAACGCCCUUAGCGGCAAACGUAGGCAAACGUUCCAACUUCAUAUAAAUUUGAGUUA
rnacentral:pre_miRNA from 1 species